UACGAAGGGGGCUAGCGUUGUUCGGAUUCAUUGGGCGUAAAGGGUGCGUAGGUGGCGCCGUAAGUCGGGUGUGAAAUUUCGGAGCUUAACUCCGAAACUGCAUUCGAUACUGCGGUGCUUGAGGACUGGAGAGGAGACUGGAAUUCAUGGUGUAGCAGUGAAAUGCGUAGAUAUGUGGAGGAACACCGAUGGCGAAGGCAGCCCCCUGGGUCAAAACUGACGCUCAUGCACGAAAGCGUGGGGAGCAAACAGG
rnacentral:rRNA from 1 species